GGCUGCCGAAAAAUACUGUAGAACUAGGGAGUGGGAGAGGUAGACGGUAUUCGGUAGGAAGGGGUAAAAUCCUUUGAUCUAUUGAGGACCACCUGUGGCGAAGGCGGUCUACCAGAACACGUUCGACGGUGAGGGAUGAAAGCUGGGGGAGCAAACCGGAUUAGAUACCCGGGUAGUCCCAGCUGUAAACGAUGCAGACUCGGUGAUGCCCUGGCUUGUGGCCAGUGCAGUGCCGCAGGGAAGCCGUUAAGUUUGCCGCCUGGGAAGUACGUACGCAAGUAUGAAACUUAAAGGAAUUGGCGGGGGAGCACCACAAGGGGUGAAGCCUGCGGUUCAAUUGGAGUCAACGCCAGAAAUCUUACCCGAAGAGACAGCAGAAUGAAGGUCAAGCUGGAGACUUUACCAGACAAGCUGAGAAGUGGUGCAUGGCCGUCGCCAGCUCGUGCCGUGAGAUGUCCUGUUAAGUCAGGUAACGAGCGAGAUCCCUGCCUCUAGUUGCCACCAUUACUCUCAGGAGUAGUGGGGCGAAUUAGCGGGACCGCCGCAGUUAAUGCGGAGGAAGGAAGGGGCCACGGCAGGUCAGUAUGCCCUGAAACUUUGGGGCCACACGCGGGCUGCAAUGGUAGCGACAAUGGGUUCCGAAUCCGAAAGGAGGAGGCAAUCCUCAAACGCUACCACAGUUAUGAUUGAGGGCUGCAACUCGCCCUCAUGAAUAUGGAAUCCCUAGUAACUGCGUGUCAUUACCGCGCAGUGAAUACGUCCCUGCUCCUUGCACACACCGCCCGU
rnacentral:rRNA from 1 species